GCUAAGUUAGUUUAUUUAAAAAUACCAGCCUGUGGAUUUGGAGAAGAAAAGUGUAUGUUUCACUUAGCC
rnacentral:tRNA from 1 species